rnacentral:snoRNA from 1 species
CGACCUUACUUGAACAGGAUCUGUUUUAUAGGCUUG